GUGCUCGCUUUGGCAGCACAUAUACUAAAAUUGGGACAAUAUAGAAAAGAUUAGUCUGGCCCUUGUGCAAGGAUGACACACAAAUUCUUGAAGCAUUCCAUAUUUUU
ensembl:snRNA U6 U6 spliceosomal RNA